GAAAUGCGAUAAGUAAUGUGAAUUGCAGAAUUAAGUGAAGCAUCGAAUCUUUGAACGCACCUUGCGCUCCUUGGUAUUCCUUGGAGCAUGCCUGUUUGAGUAUCAUGAAAUCUUCAAAGUAAAUCUUUUGUUAACUCAAUUGGUUUCUACUUUGGUAUUGGAGGUCUUUGCAGCUUCACACCUGCUCCUCUUUGUUCAUUAGCUGGAUCUCAGUGUUAUGCUUGGUUCCACUCGGCGUGAUAAGUUAUCUAUCGCUGAGGACACUGUAAAAGGUGGCCAAGGUAAAUGCAGAUGAACCGCUUCUAAUAGUCCAUUGACUUGGACAAUACUUUUAUGAUCUGAUCUCACAUCAGGUAGGACUACCCGCUGAACUUAAGC
rnacentral:misc_RNA from 1 species